rnacentral:rRNA from 1 species
AUUGAACGCUGGCGGCAUGCCUUACACAUGCAAGUCGAACGGCAGCACGGGUGCUUGCACCUGGUGGCGAGUGGCGAACGGGUGAGUAAUACAUCGGAACAUGUCCUGUAGUGGGGGAUAGCCCGGCGAAAGCCGGAUUAAUACCGCAUACGAUCCACGGAUGAAAGCGGGGGACCUUCGGGCCUCGCGCUAUAGGGUUGGCCGAUGGCUGAUUAGCUAGUUGGUGGGGUAAAGGCCUACCAAGGCGACGAUCAGUAGCUGGUCUGAGAGGACGACCAGCCACACUGGGACUGAGACACGGCCCAGACUCCUACGGGAGGCAGCAGUGGGGAAUUUUGGACAAUGGGCGAAAGCCUGAUCCAGCAACGCCGCGUGUGUGAAGAAGGCCUUCGGGUUGUAAAGCACUUUUGUCCGGAAAGAAAUCCUUGGCUCUAAUACAGUCGGGGGAUGACGGUACCGGUAGAAUAAGCACCGGCUAACUACGUG